UAUAUAUAUAUAUUAGGGGUGUAACGAUUCAUUCACUGAAUCGAUUAAUCGAUUUAUAUUCCUGCGAUCCAACUGAAUCGAUCUGUGCUCCGCAAAUCGGCAUUCCGGACGACAUAUAUCGAUUGAAAUGGUACAUAAUCGAUUGUAUCGAUACAAGCACAAAAACUGUAUGGAUGGGUGUUUGUUUGUUUGUUUUUUAGCACUUUAGACACGUUAAACGUUACUCGAUUCAGUCUGCCCGUCUGUGACGUCAUCAGUACGCAGCGGCGCGAAACUCUGAACAACAACAAAACACAGCGUGGAGGAGACGACUGCGAGCGAGACAUUUACAAACCAACUUAUUGAUCCAGCGUGUGGAAGCAUUUUGGCUUUUGCAAACACAGAGGUGUUCUAAAUAAGUCGGUCGCUGUAGAAUAUGUAGAAGCCAAAUAAAAAAACACGGAAACACGAUGAAUCUUUCCGGCCAUCUACUAAGGCGCCGUGGGAUUAAACAACGCCGACAGUCAGGCGCCUCUAGCAGCGUCACCGCUGCAGCAGCAGCAGCAGCAGGACACUCCACCAGCUCUGCAGACACCUCAGGCCUCGCCAGCAGCAAACUCAACAUCACAGUAACAAUUACCAAGUUUAUCUGUAAAGACAUGCGACCCUAUAAUGUGGUUGAAAAUCCGGGGUUCUGUAAAUUGAUCCAAACAUUGUGUAAUUAUUGAGUAAUGUUUACAUUGAAAAUGGCACUUGAUUCAAAUAAAAGGUUAAUACAUUUGCCAUUAAUUGUUGUUUGCUUGUUUAUAAUAUCCAUAAUUAAUUUAAACCUGUUUCGAGUAAAGUUACUGAAUCGAUUUCAAGUCACUGAAUCGACUCGAAUCAAAUCGUUCUAAAUGAACCCAAAUCGUCCAUGAAUCGAAUCGGCAACCAUGAAUCGAAUCGUUGUUAAAAUGAAUCGUUACACCCCUAAUAUAUAUAUAUAUAUAUAUAUAUAUAUAUAAUCUUUGCUGCCAUCUUGACCAUCAGGAAGCUGCGAGGUCCAACUAAGUGAGAUUCAUCUUUUUGUUGGUGAAGGCAGAGAGAGAGAGGGACACACUUGUGUCCAUGUGUGAUGAGGCUUUAUGGGAAAACCACCAACAACGCCACCUGGGGACUUGUUAUACAAAAUAUAAUUGAACACCAACACAACAUGCAAACAUACAACAUGGACAGGACCAUAGGGGAAUGAGGCCAUGACGGCAGGUGCUUUUUAAGGGAUGCCACUAAUUGGCCGUGUGGUCGCGGAGGAGCCAGCCGGAAGGCUGCGUUUCCCACCACACAUGCACUGUGAAGCAAUAUGAAAUUACUACAGAAAGUAUUGUCAGGCAGCAGAACCACUCGGCGAGGUUUAAGGUUUAACUAGAUUGACCAACAAGUCAGGUUACCUUGGAGACUCGAGACAAGUGACAUGUGUGACUCACAAGUAUAUCUAACUUGUCACACGACUGACAACUAAUGUGACGUCACAAGUCAGUUGCGGUGUGACAUAGUGUCGCUUGAGUUGACCCCCGUGCGACAAUCUCUAUGUCCGAGGGGGAACUGUUAAAGCGGUGGAGUUGACAAAGUGGGAGGGAAAACAUGUUGCAUUUAUACCAUCUGGCUUAAUGAACUCUAACAGCUGCAUGCGGUCCCAUGAUCAUUGUUAAGGACUCUAACUCAACCCAGACUUUCUCCAUCUACCAGCCAAAAGUUUGGACACGCUUUUUUGUUGAAUUCAAUGUGAAAACGUGUCCGCUGGUACGGUAGUUUAUUUAACAGAGCGGCACCCGGAGUUAUUUAUUAGCACAGUAGCCCAACAGGAGAACUCAGGCUUGGCAUCCGCAGAACCGGACCUUUGACUAAUUACGUCGGUAAUUGAUUUGUGAUCUAAACACAAACACUAUUACGGCUUCUCUUAGGCAGCAUUGAAAAAUCACUUAAUAAACAAAUACCAAAGCAACACCACAACAGUAACGUUGCACAGCGGUGACAGAACUCGCUGGUCCUUAAAAAUAGACAACACAUUAACAGUACCUUUAAACUUCAAAUAAAACAGGUCACAAACACAGGUGCGCAGCGCUAACGUUAGUUUGUUACGGGAUCCAAAUAUUCCCGAAGCUUUUUUCCUCUAAAGUCAUAAGCUUAACAGUAAACAACUGUUUAGUGCUAUUUUAAGGUGUAACAAAAAAGUAACAAAAUGGUGCAUGCUGAAUUUUUAUUAUAAAUAACGACAUUUUGUGACUCCAUGUGUGCUGUUAUUAAUAAUAGAAUAAAGAAAUUGAAGUCACAUGGUUUACAAAUAAAAUAACGAUUUAAAAAAAUAAUAAUAAAUAUAUAUAUAUAUAUAUUUUUUUGCGCACCUGUGUUUGCGACCUGUUUUAUUUUUUUAAAUCUACAUUUUCUCCAGCCCCUCGUGCCCCACCUGUAAUACCUCUGCUCCCCACAGUUUGAGAACCACUGGGUUAAGUACAAUGCAAUCAAUUCCGCCUCAAAUAUCUCAAGGAUAAUUAAACAAAACAAGCCAACCAAAUGACCCCCUAAAAUCUGUGAAUGUCUGUUACCAAGUUUAGGAAAUCUAUGUGUGUUGCUUCACUUAUUAUGUAAAUAAUAAGCAAGCAACACAUUUACAUUUGUUAGUAUGUACAUAAUACUGAGUUACUGGGCUCAGGGGAUCAGGGUGUGUUACUAACUUCCUCAGUGGGCGGCGUCCUGCGGAGAGCCUCGCUCCUUCACGCUGAACAUCGGAGGCAGUUGCUGUGGCGAUCGGUGCCCAUAGGGACACAUUUCUGCUCUCAGUAAAAAAAUGAAUCUCUACCUCUUCCCUGUUUGCUUUCUUUCUCUACAAUUCUGUAAUGAAAUUAAUCUCUCUGUUCUUGAUAUGGGUCAGUCCACAUGCACCCCCCCCCCCGGCUGAGAGGGACUGCUCCAUCACUGUCAUGAGG
ensembl:lncRNA